rnacentral:rRNA from 1 species
UACGGGAGGCAGCAGUGGGGAAUAUUGCACAAUGGGCGAAAGACCUGAUGCAGCUAUGCCGCGUGUAUGAAGAAGGCCUUAGGGUUGUAAAGUACUUUCAUCGGGGAGGAAAAAACAAAACUAAUAAUUUUAAUUUUCUUUGACGUUACCCGAAAAAGAAGCACCGGCUAACUCCGUGCCAGCAGCCGCGGUAAUACGGAGGGUGCUAGCGUUAAUCAGAAUUACUGGGCGUAAAGAGCACGUAGGUGGUUUUUUUAAAGUCAGAUGUGAAAUCCCUGGGCUUAACCUAGGAACUGCAUUUUGAAACUGAAAUACUAGAGUAUCGUAGAGGGAGGUAGAAUUCUAGGUGUAGCGGUUGAAAUGCGUAGAUAUCUGGAGGAAUACCUGUGGCGAAAGCGGCCUCUAAACGAAUCUCGACACUGAGGUGCGAAAGCGUGGGGAGCAAACAGGGAUUAGGAUA